UUAUCAUAAUCCUUGAGAAAGUUAUAAAGGGUUUCAUGCGCUCUAGCUAUAAGAAGCGCUGUCGUCUUGCAAAAUUCUACUGAAAACGUGCUAAUAGGAGUAAUGCAGAUACUGGAUUUCAAAAAUCCGUUUAAAACUCAAGUUCUCUCAUAAUUUUUCGAUAACUUUUGGAACCCCCAAAAAAGAAAAAUAUUGCAUUUAUUAAAAAAACCCUUUACUAUUCGGAAAUAGAUUAAAAAGCCCAUCAACCUUCGAGUUCGUUCAAGACACUGCUGAUAGAAACC
rnacentral:lncRNA from 1 species